rnacentral:misc_RNA from 1 species
CUGUGUGCAAAUCAUUUUGUGAAAUUGUUGAAAGUAAGAAAAUACAUCACUUUUUGCUUUCAUCAAAUAAGCCUAUGUCAACCUAGUGCAACAAUUAAUAAAAGUGACAAACCAUCUAUAACCAUACAUAGAAACAUUUUGAGUAUGUCUCUAGAUAUCAGAAUGAAUAGUCAUAAAAGGAAUAAAACUUUUAUUAUUUGCACAAGCAUAAGAUUAUCUUGUGUUUUUAGCAAAUUCACAAGCAUCAUAAACUAGUAAAUUUGAGUUGUAAUUCUUAAACAAAUUAGGAUAUA